rnacentral:tRNA from 1 species
CAAAUUAGAGCUUGAUAAAGCAUUUCAUUUACAUUGAAAAGAUAAUAUUGAUUUUAUUUAAUUUGA